GGGGAUAUAGCUCAGAGGUAGAGCGCAUGCCCAGCACGCAUGAAGUCCUGGGCUCAAUCCCUAGUACCUCCA
rnacentral:tRNA from 1 species